GUUCUAUAAGCCCUAGUUGUUUCCUAGUGAAGUGAAAGAUCAGCACAUGAAAUGCAUACAUCCCCAUUCACCUUCACCUUUUUCUGGGAAAGCUCCCAUCGAUUUUUACUGAAAUGGAACAUGAUGCCAGAUCUCCAGAUUUUUCUAAACCUUUAAAAUCACAUAUCCUUUUGGAAGUCAUCAAAACUCAAUACAUUCCCUGUUCAGUGGAUUUUCUGUGCUUUGAUUUCUCUCUCUGCAUAUAUUUAAAGUUCAUGAAAUUUUCAUUUCUGUUACUUCUGUAAUAGCAUUUCUUGUUCUUGUACAACUUGCUGAAGAAUUAGCCAAUAAUAUAAUAUAUUUAAAAGUCAUACUUUUUUCCUUAUCAAAUAUACUUGUAUGCAUAUGAACAUGGGAACGCAAGAAAAUUAUAAAUGGGGAAAAGAAUGAUAAGCAGGUUUUAUAGUAAAUGUCUUUCAUAAAGACUUGAUCUUAUUUGCAGUGAUUUCUUGGGGUAGUAUUCAGUAAAUCAGGGCCAAAAGAUUUUACUACUUAUAUACAGGAAUUAUUAGGAAGCUCCAAAUAAAAACUUGUUCCUUCAAUCCGAUAUGUACUCA
rnacentral:lncRNA from 1 species